rnacentral:lncRNA from 1 species
AAGAGACACAGACAGGGGACUGUCAGCUGGUGCUGGAGGAGCCGAACAACGAGUCAUCAGCCACUGGAAACACCUGAGAGUGACCGUUCCACGGCAGCCCCGUGCCCCACGCCAGCACUAGCAUGUUGAGCCCAGGGUAGAGCCAACAUACAGGACCAGGACUCUGGGUGUGAAGAUUCCA